rnacentral:lncRNA from 1 species
CCAGGCGAGACCUGGUCUGCUCUGUUGUAGCAGUCUUCUGCUUUAGGCUUCAGCCUCUCAGCAAGCCAGACUGGGCCCCUUGUCAGAGCCUCUCUGAAUUUCUGAAUUCAGAGCCUUCCUCAAGUUUGGCUGAAAUCAGCUCCAGGAAAUGGGGUCUAUAACAGCUCCUUGAAGUAAGGAAGACAAUGGCCAAAUGAGCCUGUGGGUGUAGGUAUGUGUUCAGCUAUCAGUACUUCUUAGAGUGGAAGACUUUAACCUGUGGUAUCCUUCAGAACCACCACCGAAAGUUUUCCCUUCAGAUAAGACUCAACACAAGUGUGUAUUCAGAAUAUCCCAAAGUUUUGAAUGUUUCUUCUUUGCCAG